rnacentral:rRNA from 1 species
GAUGAACGCUGGCGGCGUGCCUAAUACAUGCAAGUCGAGCGAACAGAUGAGGAGCUUGCUCCUCUGACGUUAGCGGCGGACGGGUGAGUAACACGUGGAUAACCUACCUAUAAGACUGGGAUAACUUCGGGAAACCGGAGCUAAUACCGGAUAAUAUAUUGAACCGCAUGGUUCAAUAGUGAAAGACGGUUUUGCUGUCACUUAUAGAUGGAUCCGCGCCGCAUUAGCUAGUUGGUAAGGUAACGGCUUACCAAGGCAACGAUGCGUAGCCGACCUGAGAGGGUGAUCGGCCACACUGGAACUGAGACACGGUCCAGACUCCUACGGGAGGCAGCAGUAGGGAAUCUUCCGCAAUGGGCGAAAGCUUGACGGAGCAACGCCGCGUGAGUGAUGAAAGUCUUCGGAUCGUAAAACUCUGUUAUUAGGGAAGAACAAAUGUGUAAGUAACUAUGCACGUCUUGACGGUACCUAAUCAGAAAGCCACGGCUAACUACGUG